UGACAAGGUCUUCUCAGGGACUGCAA
rnacentral:piRNA from 1 species